UACGAAGGGGGCUAGCGUUGUUCGGAAUCACUGGGCGUAAAGGGCGCGUAGGCGGCUUUAUAAGUCGGGUGUGAAAGCCCCGGGCUCAACCUGGGAAUUGCAUUCGAGACUGAAUAGCUAGGGUACGGUAGAGGGAAGCGGAAUUUCCGGUGUAGCGGUGAAAUGCGUAGAUAUCGGAAGGAACAUCAGUGGCGAAAGCGGCUUCCUGGACCAGUACCGACGUUCAGGCACGAAAGCGUGGGGAGCAAACAGG
rnacentral:rRNA from 1 species